UGAAUUGCAGAAUCCCGUGAACCAUCGAGUCUUUGAACGCAAGUUGCGCCUGAAGCCAUUAGGCUAAGGGCACGUCUGCCUGGGCGUCACGCAUCGCGUCACCCCUUCACACGUUUGGUGGAUGGGGUG
rnacentral:rRNA from 1 species